AUUGAACGCUGGCGGCAGGCCUAACACAUGCAAGUCGAGCGGUAGAGAGAAGCUUGCUUCUCUUGAGAGCGGCGGACGGGUGAGUAAUACCUAGGAAUCUGCCUGAUAGUGGGGGAUAACGUUCGGAAACGGACGCUAAUACCGCAUACGUCCUACGGGAGAAAGCAGGGGACCUUCGGGCCUUGCGCUAUCAGAUGAGCCUAGGUCGGAUUAGCUAGUUGGUGAGGUAAUGGCUCACCAAGGCUACGAUCCGUAACUGGUCUGAGAGGAUGAUCAGUCACACUGGAACUGAGACACGGUCCAGACUCCUACGGGAGGCAGCAGUGGGGAAUAUUGGACAAUGGGCGAAAGCCUGACCCAGCCAUGCCGCGUGUGUGAAGAAGGUCUUCGGAUUGUAAAGCACUUUAAGUUGGGAGGAAGGGGCAUUAACCUAAUACGUUGGUGUCUUGACGUUACCGACAGAAUAAGCACCGGCUAACUCUGUGCCAGCAGCCGCGGUA
rnacentral:rRNA from 1 species